GAUUAACGCUGGCGGCGUGCUUAACACAUGCAAGUCGAACGAAGCACUUUAUUUGAUUUCCUUCGGGACUGAUUAUUUUGUGACUGAGUGGCGGACGGGUGAGUAACGCGUGGGUAACCUGCCUUGUACAGGGGGAUAACAGUUGGAAACGGCUGCUAAUACCGCAUAAGCGCACAGCAUCGCAUGAUGCAGUGUGAAAAACUCCGGUGGUAUAAGAUGGACCCGCGUUGGAUUAGCUAGUUGGUGAGGUAACGGCCCACCAAGGCGACGAUCCAUAGCCGACCUGAGAGGGUGACCGGCCACAUUGGGACUGAGACACGGCCCAAACUCCUACGGGAGGCAGCAGUGGGGAAUAUUGCACAAUGGGCGAAAGCCUGAUGCAGCGACGCCGCGUGAGCGAAGAAGUAUUUCGGUAUGUAAAGCUCUAUCAGCAGGGAAGAUAAUGACGGUACCUGACUAAGAAGCACCGGCUAAAUACGUG
rnacentral:rRNA from 1 species